GAGAAUUUUUCACAAUGGGCGCAAGCCUGAUGGAGCGACGCCGCGUGGGGGAUGAAUGGCUUCGGCCCGUAAACCCCUGUCAUUUGCGAUCAAACCUUGCUAUUUAAAAGAUGGCGAGCUGAUAGUAGCGAAAGAGGAAGGGACGGCUAACUCUGUGCCAGCAGCCGCGGUAAUACAGAGGUCCCAAGCGUUGUUCGGAUUCACUGGGCGUAAAGGGGGCGUAGGUGGUGGGGUAAGUCGGAUGUGAAAUCUCGGAGCUCAACUCCGAAAUGGAAUUGGAAACUACCCUGCUAGAGGGUCGGAGGGGGGACUGUAAUUCUCGGUGUAGCAGGGAAAUGCGUAGAUAUCGAGAGGAACACCAGUGGCGAAGGCGAGUCCCUGGACGACUCCUGACACUGAGGCACGAAAGCUAGGGGAGCAAACA
rnacentral:rRNA from 1 species